CAACAACCCAUCAUUGUCCAGUACAUUUGAUGCUCCAACAACCCAUCAUUGUCCAGUACAUUUGAUGCUCCGGGUUGUUGGAGCAUCAAAUGUACUGGACAAUGAUGGGUUGUU
rnacentral:pre_miRNA from 1 species